rnacentral:rRNA from 1 species
GGGUUCCUGUCCAACGUUAAUCGGGGCAGGGUGAGUCGACCCCUAAGGCGAGGCCGAAAGGCGUAGUCGAUGGGAAACAGGUUAAUAUUCCUGUACUUGGUGUUACUGCGAAGGGGGGACGGAGAAGGCUAUGUUGGCCGGGCGACGGUUGUCCCGGUUUAAGCGUGUAGGCUGGUUUUCCAGGCAAAUCCGGAAAACCAAGGCUGAGGCGUGAUGACGAGGCACUACGGUGCUGAAGUGACAAAUGCCCUGCUUCCAGGAAAAGCCUCUAAGCAUCAGGUAACAUCAAAUCGUACCCCAAACCGACACAGGUGGUCAGGUAGAGAAUACCAAGGCGCUUGAGAGAACUCGGGUGAAGGAACUAGGCAAAAUGGUGCCGUAACUUCGGGAGAAGGCACGCUGAUAUGUAGGUGAAGCGACUUGCUCGUGGAGCUGAAAUCAGUCGAAGAUACCAGCUGGCUGCAACUGUUUAUUAAAAACACAGCACUGUGCAAACACGAAAGUGGACGUAUACGGUGUGACGCCUGCCCGGUGCCGGAAGGUUAAUUGAUGGGGUUAGCGGUAACGCGAAGCUCUUGAUCGAAGCCCCGGUAAACGGCGGCCGUAACUAUAACGGUCCUAAGGUAGCGAAAUUCCUUGUCGGGUAAGUUCCGACCUGCACGAAUGGCGUAAUGAUGGCCAGGCUGUCUCCACCCGAGACUCAGUGAAAUUGAACUCGCUGUGAAGAUGCAGUGUACCCGCGGCAAGACGGAAAGACCCCGUGAACCUUUACUAUAGCUUGACACUGAACAUUGAGCCUUGAUGUGUAGGAUAGGUGGGAGGCUUUGAAGUGUGGACGCCAGUCUGCAUGGAGCCGACCUUGAAAUACCACCCUUUAAUGUUUGAUGUUCUAACGUUGGCCCCUAAUCGGGGUUGCGGACAGUGUCUGGUGGGUAGUUUGACUGGGGCGGUCUCCUCCUAAAGAGUAACGGAGGAGCACGAAGGUUGGCUAAUCCUGGUCGGACAUCAGGAGGUUAGUGCAAUGGCAUAAGCCAGCUUGACUGCGAGCGUGACGGCGCGAGCAGGUGCGAAAGCAGGUCAUAGUGAUCCGGUGGUUCUGAAUGGAAGGGCCAUCGCUCAACGGAUAAAAGGUACUCCGGGGAUAACAGGCUGAUACCGCCCAAGAGUUCAUAUCGACGGCGGUGUUUGGCACCUCGAUGUCGGCUCAUCACAUCCUGGGGCUGAAGUAGGUCCCAAGGGUAUGGCUGUUCGCCAUUUAAAGUGGUACGCGAGCUGGGUUUAGAACGUCGUGAGACAGUUCGGUCCCUAUCUGCCGUGGGCGCUGGAGAACUGAGGGGGGCUGCUCCUAGUACGAGAGGACCGGAGUGGACGUAUCACUG